GGUUAAGCGACUAAGCGUACACGGUGGAUGCCCUGGCAGUCAGAGGCGAUGAAGGACGUGCUAAUCUGCGAUAAGCGCCGGUAAGGUGAUAUGAACCGUUAUAACCGGCGAUUUCCGAAUGGGGAAACCCAGUGUGACUCGUCACACUAUCAUUAACUGAAUCCAUAGGUUAAUGAGGCGAACCGGGGGAACUGAAACAUCUAAGUACCCCGAGGAAAAGAAAUCAACCGAGAUUCCCCCAGUAGCGGCGAGCGAACGGGGAGGAGCCCAGAGCCUGAAUCAGCAUGUGUGUUAGUGGAAGCGUCUGGAAAGGCGCGCGAUACAGGGUGACAGCCCCGUACACAAAAGCGCAUGUGCUGUGAGCUCGAUGAGUAGGGCGGGACACGUGGUAUCCUGUCUGAAUAUGGGGGGACCAUCCUCCAAGGCUAAAUACUCCUGACUGACCGAUAGUGAACCAGUACCGUGAGGGAAAGGCGAAAAGAACCCCGGCGAGGGGAGUGAAAAAGAACCUGAAACCGUGUACGUACAAGCAGUGGGAGCACCUUCGGGUGUGACUGCGUACCUUUUGUAUAAUGGGUCAGCGACUUAUAUUCUGUAGCAAGGUUAACCGUAUAGGGGAGCCGGAGGGAAACCGAGUCUUAACCGGGCGUUAAGUUGCAGGGUAUAGACCCGAAACCCGGUGAUCUAGCCAUGGGCAGGUUGAAGGUUGGGUAACACUAACUGGAGGACCGAACCGACUAAUGUUGAAAAAUUAGCGGAUGACCUGUGGCUGGGGGUGAAAGGCCAAUCAAACCGGGAGAUAGCUGGUUCUCCCCGAAAGCUAUUUAGGUAGCGCCUCGUGAAUUCAUCUCCGGGGGUAGAGCACUGUUUCGGCCAGGGGGCCAUCCCGGCUUACCAACCCGAUGCAAACUGCGAAUACCGGAGAAUGUUAUCACGGGAGACACACGGCGGGUGCUAACGUCCGUCGUGAAGAGGGAAACAACCCAGACCGCCAGCUAAGGUCCCAAAGUCAUGGUUAAGUGGGAAACGAUGUGGGAAGGCCCAGACAGCCAGGAUGUUGGCUUAGAAGCAGCCAUCAUUUAAAGAAAGCGUAAUAGCUCACUGGUCGAGUCGGCCUGCGCGGAAGAUGUAACGGGGCUAAACCAUGCACCGAAGCUGCGGCAGCGACACUCAGGUGUUGUUGGGUAGGGGAGCGUUCUGUAAGCCUGCGAAGGUGGCCUGUGAGGGUUGCUGGAGGUAUCAGAAGUGCGAAUGCUGACAUAAGUAACGAUAAAGCGGGUGAAAAGCCCGCUCGCCGGAAGACCAAGGGUUCCUGUCCAACGUUAAUCGGGGCAGGGUGAGUCGACCCCUAAGGCGAGGCCGAAAGGCGUAGUCGAUGGGAAACGGGUUAAUAUUCCCGUACUUGGUGUUACUGCGAAGGGGGGACGGAGAAGGCUAUGUUGGCCGGGCGACGGUUGUCCCGGUUUAAGCGUGUAGGUGUGUGUUCCAGGUAAAUCCGGUUCACUUUAACACUGAGGCGUGAUGACGAGGCACUACGGUGCUGAAGCAACAAAUGCCCUGCUUCCAGGAAAAGCCUCUAAGCAUCAGGUAACAUCAAAUCGUACCCCAAACCGACACAGGUGGUCAGGUAGAGAAUACCAAGGCGCUUGAGAGAACUCGGGUGAAGGAACUAGGCAAAAUGGUGCCGUAACUUCGGGAGAAGGCACGCUGACACGUAGGUGAAGUGAUUUACUGAUGGAGCUGAAGUCAGUCGAAGAUACCAGCUGGCUGCAACUGUUUAUUAAAAACACAGCACUGUGCAAACACGAAAGUGGACGUAUACGGUGUGACGCCUGCCCGGUGCCGGAAGGUUAAUUGAUGGGGUCAGCGCAAGCGAAGCUCCUGAUCGAAGCCCCGGUAAACGGCGGCCGUAACUAUAACGGUCCUAAGGUAGCGAAAUUCCUUGUCGGGUAAGUUCCGACCUGCACGAAUGGCGUAAUGAUGGCCAGGCUGUCUCCACCCGAGACUCAGUGAAAUUGAACUCGCUGUGAAGAUGCAGUGUACCCGCGGCAAGACGGAAAGACCCCGUGAACCUUUACUAUAGCUUGACACUGAACAUUGAGCCUUGAUGUGUAGGAUAGGUGGGAGGCUUUGAAGUGUGGACGCCAGUCUGCAUGGAGCCGACCUUGAAAUACCACCCUUUAAUGUUUGAUGUUCUAACGUGGACCCGUGAUCCGGGUUGCGGACAGUGUCUGGUGGGUAGUUUGACUGGGGCGGUCUCCUCCUAAAGAGUAACGGAGGAGCACGAAGGUUGGCUAAUCCUGGUCGGACAUCAGGAGGUUAGUGCAAUGGCAUAAGCCAGCUUGACUGCGAGCGUGACGGCGCGAGCAGGUGCGAAAGCAGGUCAUAGUGAUCCGGUGGUUCUGAAUGGAAGGGCCAUCGCUCAACGGAUAAAAGGUACUCCGGGGAUAACAGGCUGAUACCGCCCAAGAGUUCAUAUCGACGGCGGUGUUUGGCACCUCGAUGUCGGCUCAUCACAUCCUGGGGCUGAAGUAGGUCCCAAGGGUAUGGCUGUUCGCCAUUUAAAGUGGUACGCGAGCUGGGUUUAGAACGUCGUGAGACAGUUCGGUCCCUAUCUGCCGUGGGCGCUGGAGAACUGAGGGGGGCUGCUCCUAGUACGAGAGGACCGGAGUGGACGCAUCACUGGUGUUCGGGUUGUCAUGCCAAUGGCACUGCCCGGUAGCUAAAUGCGGAAGAGAUAAGUGCUGAAAGCAUCUAAGCACGAAACUUGCCCCGAGAUGAGUUCUCCCUGAGACUUAGAGUCUCCUGAAGGAACGUUGAAGACGACGACGUUGAUAGGCCGGGUGUGUAAGCGCAGCGAUGCGUUGAGCUAACCGGUACUAAUGAACCGUGAGGCUUAACCUU
rnacentral:rRNA from 1 species